rnacentral:rRNA from 1 species
GAUGAACGCUGACAGAAUGCUUAACACAUGCAAGUCCACUUGAACUUCGGUUUGGGUGGCGGACGGGUGAGUAACGCGUAAAGAACUUGCCUCACAGAUAGGGACAACAUUUGGAAACGAAUGCUAAUACCUGAUAUUAUGAUUAUAUGGCAUCGUAUAAUUAUGAAAGCUAUAUGCGCUGUGAGAGAGCUUUGCGUCCCAUUAGCUAGUUGGAGAGGUAACGGCUCACCAAGGCGAUGAUGGGUAGCCGGCCUGAGAGGGUGAUCGGCCACAAGGGGACUGAGACACGGCCCUUACUCCUACGGGAGGCAGCAGUGGGGAAUAUUGGACAAUGGACCAAGAGUCUGAUCCAGCAAUUCUGUGUGCACGAUGAAGUUUUUCGGAAUGUAAAGUGCUUUCAGUUGGGAAGAAAAAAAUGACGGUACCAACAGAAGAAGUGACGGCUAAAUACG